UAUUUUCCAUUAUCAUUUAUUAUAGUACAAGAAAAACAAAUCUAGAAAGCACAUUUCAUGGAGCACCAUAUUGUAACAAAAUUUUGCUGGCUCUCCUGCAGUGUAUUUUUGACAUUUAAACAAUGACACACACAUAGUACACACAGGCACCUACACCACGGCGAUCUUAUUGACAGACCCAAAGGGACCCCUCUUUCUAAUACAGCCACACUAAGGUGUACAGAGGAAUGCCAGCGUGAAGGCAUCUGAAAGCUAACUGAGUUAAUCACUCUUUUGUUAGCAAUCUUCAUGAGCACACAAGCUUCCUCUGUCUCACCCCAAUUCCUCUUCACUGAAGACUCCAAUUUGGGCACAACUGAUUAUGGAUUUGUCACAGACAUGGUGUCGAGUUGUACAAAACUGGCCAAUAUUCCCUACCUGACUCCUUUUAUUGCUUUGGUUAUAGUACUGAAUUAAAGUUUUAAAAACUCUUAAAUCUAUACUCCACAUCACAGAAAAGCCACUUUCACACAUGCAGAAACAUAACUUCCCUCCGCACACACCUGGAUGCAUAGCACAAAUACCUUUUUAAGAAGUGUUGUAGGUUUCCCCACCAAGAUCACCUUCCUAAAAAUCACUGCAUUUUGUUUUUCAAAGUGUUCAGACAGUUGUUCAACAACAUAUUUCAUAAAUAUAUUUUAUUAUUUUUAAUAGAUGGGGCAUGUUUUCCUGCUGCCUUAAAUUUAUGUCAUUGUCUACACAAGGAAAGAGCAAAAUGCUAGUUUCUCAUUUGCACAAAAUGCUUUACAUUACUUUUCUACAGUGCUAAAUACAGAUGCUAAGCACAGAACAAUGUAGAAUGAUAGCCCAGAAUAGCUUUUUAUGUUGCUCAAAAUGAAAAAUACUGAACGUUUCCCAUACUAAUGUUGAGACACAGUAUUGGGGUCUCUAUUAUAUACAGUAGCCUUCCAGAAUGCUUUCAGGCACCUAUUUUGGGAGCUGUUGCUCAACAUGUAUGUCACACUGGAGCACCUCAAGUAAUAUGGUAUAGUGCCCUGGCACAGUGAGAAUGAGAUAGAAGCAAAUCCAGUCUCACUGCAGACUAGACAAGUCUAGCAAAGCAAUAAAAUCUCUACCAGGGCCCAAAACAACUGUUAUAAUAAUUUUGGGUAGCUGGCAUAUGGCCACUUUUAUUAUCAAUUGAGGAUAUUUUUUUAAAACCUUUUCAAUGAAAUGUUUCGAUUUUGUAAAAAAAAAAAAAAAAAAAAAAAAAAAACAAAAAAAAAACCACAAAAAAAACCCAAACAAACAAAAUAAAACAUUAUGUUUCUGUCAGCCUCCUAGAAAAUACUUUUCCAGGUUUUUUUUUUUUUCCUUUAUGCCCAUUUUACUUUGAAGAAAGCCCUGCUGGGGAGUUUUCUGGGGAAACCCAAGAUUUUGCAAAAUGUAUUUCUGUCUUGAUAAUCAGUGAGGCUGGAAUAUCUUUAAAUUUUAGGCAGGACAGUUAUACAUGUUGCCAAGAAAGAAAUGAAGUUAUUGCGCAUUUUUAUUUGUGGAAAAUCAAUUUGUUUUUCCCAUUUACAGGAGCCAAUUUUAUAAUUCCUGUAUACUACGUGAUGAAGAGGCAUCUAUGAAGGACAAAACAAAAUAAUGGAAAUUCAAAAGCAGAGAAUGGACUUGAAAAAUAAUUGUAACUUUAGAUAUGCAAAUGGGUAUUAACAAACUGAAUUACUAAUUCUGACUAUUUCCUCUGAACUAAAGGUAUGUUUCAACAGCUGUGUUAAACAUUUGGCUAGCAUUUCCCAUAUAAACAGUUUAGAAUUCUACAGUAUAAUGAUGAAAAGAAGAAAAGACUUACUAGUUUAAGUUUUACAAAGGCUGUGGAGUUGCUAUGGAUUAAAAAAGUUUCAGAUGACUGAAGAACAGGAUAUAAUAAAGAAAAGAUUCUGUGCUGGGUAUAUUAAUACAGAUUUUCACUUGGAUUAAUGUCUACAUCUUUACUCAUCUGAGUAAAAAGACGGCGUAGCAAAAACAGAAGUGAUUCAGAGACAAGGAAAGAGUAUGAAUCUGUAUAAGAAUAGGAGUUAUUGUUUGUCUUAAACAAACAAAUGGUAUGCAAAUUUCUAUAUAGAUUAUAUAGUGACUGACAUACAGAAGAAAAAUUGGGAUCGCUUAUGUUUAGUGGUUUAGCAUAUAACAGCAAGAGAUGAGAAUGAUGUUGAAAAGCAGUCUAUUUAAAUAUGAAAGAAAAAAAUCUGUUUUCAUUUGGUUUUCUUUAAAAUUAAGAGGGACUUUUUUUAUUUUAGUAAUCCCCACCUCACAAAAUAUUUUAAUCUCAAUACCCAGAAUCAGCCUCUCAUGCGGGAUAAUGAGACAUCAACAAUCACUUCAGAUGAGGCAAAAACAAUAUGGGCUGAAGCUAGUAAAAAUUCUCUAAAUUAAAAUUAUUGCACCUUCCCCUGAAGCAUCUGAUACAGUCAGAGGUAGGACACUGGAUUAAAUAACCAUGUAGUUUGGCUUUGUUACUGUUUCUAUGAUUACAGGUUUUAAAAAUUCAGUUAUAUAUCCCAGUUAGUCAUGAAGAUCUGUAAGUCUUCUGCAUUGAGCAACAAUUUACAGUAACAUUAAUGAAUGGUAGGACAGGAUAAUGAUUUUUAGUGGUCUUAGACACCAUUUAUAUGUGCACACAUAUAUAUACACAUACAUAAAAAUGUAUUAUAUACGUAUGAAUGCAUAUAUAAAUGCACACACAGAGAGACACAGGUCUUCUGAGAAGUGGGGCUCACUGGGACAUCUGACAACUACUCUUUACACCCUUCUCCAAUGCACAUUACCAACUGUGUAAGUGCAUGUGUGUCUAUGUUUAACAGUGUGUGGAGGAAAAUGUGAGAAGAAUGGGAAGCAUGAACCUGGUACGGGAGAAAUUACCCAUGUUAGUGUCAUUAUUUCAGAUCUGUGCUUGAAAACACAUUUCCAAAUUCCUCCUACAUUGGCUAAGUUGACCAAGAGCCAAGCUUAAGGAAAUACACAAUAUUAGUGGGCAUUAUGAAAAUUAAAAGACUUGUGUAUUUUCUAAUAUUUUCUAUGUCAGCCUCAACACAUCAUAUUCCUGAUGAUGGGCAGGAUGAGAAAUUAUGAACUAAUUUGAUUUUUGCCACUUAUUCUGGUUAUCUGUUUCAUAUUUCUGCCAAAGAUGAGAGAAAACUUGGAUAGUCCAUCUCCAUAUGGGUUUUCAUUUAUCAGCUCUAAUAGGUUAGCUCAUUGUAAAUCUGCCUCUUCCUCAGGCUUGAUUAAAUAAUUCUAAUUUUAGAAACUUAAUGUGUACUCUAAGUUCACAGUAUCUCUUUCAACAUAACAAUCCAUUCCUCAUCAUCAUUCAUAUAAAAAUUUUGCCAUCUUUUAUACUUACUCACAUUAAUUCAAACUAUUUGUCCUCCCUGUUUCUCUUCUGGGAAGGUUUUCAAGAAUAUGAGCAAAACAGACUAUCAGCUCAUCCAGUAGCAGAACUGUAGCUAAUCAAUUCUAAGACUGAAAACAACUUAACUUUCCAAUUAACAUAGAUAUAAACAAGGUUCAGAUAUCUAAGACAGUAAAAGUCAGCAUGACUACAUUUAACAGGGUAAAUGACAGAAUAGGUUUCCAUUUCAAUGAGGUAAAAUUGUGCAUAAGUUCUCCUGUCCCCAAAAUAUACCUUCAAGGUCACACUUAAAAAAAAAAAAAAAAAAAAAAAA
rnacentral:lncRNA from 1 species